rnacentral:rRNA from 1 species
GGAGAAAAAAAGCUCAUAUAUAUAAUUAUAUAUANAUAUACNCCCGGGUGGGUAGGANUGACNUCGUCUGGGCCAUAUUGUGAGACCNGGGGGUGUAAAAAAAUAUANAGGGGNGUGUGUACGAAAUUCCCCCUCUCGCGCCCACCACUCCUCNGAAAAAGGUGUGUGUGUGGUGGUGUGGUUUUUUUUUUUUUUAUUUUUUUNGUGUGGGGACCUCCUCUAAACCUUUUGGGGGGGGCCCCCUCUCUCUAUAAAGCGCGAAAAAGCAGCCUUUUGUGGAGAGCNCACCCCCCCCGUGUGCCGCCUCUUUGGGGGGGAGCCACUAGGGGUGUGGUGUUUUUUUNCUAAAAGGGGGCCCCCCUUUAAAAAGCCCAAACACAAAAAUUGGCACCCCAAAU